AGCGUUUGUGGCUGCAAGUAGGUCCUCUUAGACCAGUUCACAGAGAAUGUCUUCAUACCAGGGAAGAUGACAGACACCCAGAAGCCUGUAUUUUGUCUUGGUAGGGUGAACGAGAACUCCCGAGAGGUGACGGCGCAAGACCUUUUGCUGGAAUGGCGUUUCUUACAAAAACAAACACAUUUUGGGGGGGAAGUUAGCUGAAGGAACAAGCUGCUGGGAAUGGAGUCCCAUGUUCCAGCUAAUAGAAGCAUUAUUUGCAGGGCUCUUUGUCUUGCCUUUCCACAUUAAAUCUCUGUCAUGC